GAUGAAGAACGUAGCGAAAUGCGAUAAGUAGUGUGAAUUGCAGAAUUCAGUGAAUCAUCGAAUCUUUGAACGCACAUUGCGCCCCUUGGUAUUCCAUGGGGCAUGCCUGUUCGAGCGUCAUUUGUACCUUCAAGCUUUGCUUGGUGUUGGGUGUUUGUCUCGCCUUUGCGUGUAGACUCGCCUUAAAAUAAUUGGCAGCCGGCGUAUUGAUUUCGGAGCGCAGUACAUCUCGCGCUUUGCACUCAUAACGACAGCGUCCAAAAGUACAUUUUACACUCUUGACCUCGGAUCAGGUAGGGAUACCCGCUGAACUUAAGCAUAUCAAUGCGGAGGA
rnacentral:misc_RNA from 1 species